rnacentral:rRNA from 1 species
AUAAUGGGUCAGCGACUUAUAUUCUGUAGCAAGGUUAACCGAAUAGGGGAGCCGAAGGGAAACCGAGUCUUAACUGGGCGUUAAGUUGCAGGGUAUAGACCCGAAACCCGGUGAUCUAGCCAUGGGCAGGUUGAAGGUUGGGUAACACUAACUGGAGGACCGAACCGACUAAUGUUGAAAAAUUAGCGGAUGACUUGUGGCUGGGGGUGAAAGGCCAAUCAAACCGGGAGAUAGCUGGUUCUCCCCGAAAGCUAUUUAGGUAGCGCCUCGUGAAUUCAUCUCCGGGGGUAGAGCACUGUUUCGGCAAGGGGGUCAUCCCGACUUACCAACCCGAUGCAAACUGCGAAUACCGGAGAAUGUUAUCACGGGAGACACACGGCGGGUGCUAACGUCCGUCGUGAAGAGGGAAACAACCCAGACCGCCAGCUAAGGUCCCAAAGUCAUGGUUAAGUGGGAAACGAUGUGGGAAGGCCCAGACAGCCAGGAUGUUGGCUUAGAAGCAGCCAUCAUUUAAAGAAAGCGUAAUAGCUCACUGGUCGAGUCGGCCUGCGCGGAAGAUGUAACGGGGCUAAACCAUGCACCGAAGCUGCGGCAGCGACGCUGAUGCGUUGUUGGGUAGGGGAGCGUUCUGUAAGCCUGCGAAGGUGUGCUGUGAGGCAUGCUGGAGGUAUCAGAAGUGCGAAUGCUGACAUAAGUAACGAUAAAGCGGGUGAAAAGCCCGCUCGCCGGAAGACCAAGGGUUCCUGUCCAACGUUAAUCGGGGCAGGGUGAGUCGACCCCUAAGGCGAGGCCGAAAGGCGUAGUCGAUGGGAAACAGGUUAAUAUUCCUGUACUUGGUGUUACUGCGAAGGGGGGACGGAGAAGGCUAUGUUGGCCGGGCGACGGUUGUCCCGGUUUAAGCGUGUAGGCUGGUUUUCCAGGCAAAUCCGGAAAAUCAAGGCUGAGGCGUGAUGACGAGGCACUACGGUGCUGAAGCAACAAAUGCCCUGCUUCCAGGAAAAGCCUCUAAGCAUCAGGUAACAUCAAAUCGUACCCCAAACCGACACAGGUGGUCAGGUAGAGAAUACCAAGGCGCUUGAGAGAACUCGGGUGAAGGAACUAGGCAAAAUGGUGCCGUAACUUCGGGAGAAGGCACGCUGAUAUGUAGGUGAAGUCCCUCGCGGAUGGAGCUGAAAUCAGUCGAAGAUACCAGCUGGCUGCAACUGUUUAUUAAAAACACAGCACUGUGCAAACACGAAAGUGGACGUAUACGGUGUGACGCCUGCCCGGUGCCGGAAGGUUAAUUGAUGGGGUUAGCGCAAGCGAAGCUCUUGAUCGAAGCCCCGGUAAACGGCGGCCGUAACUAUAACGGUCCUAAGGUAGCGAAAUUCCUUGUCGGGUAAGUUCCGACCUGCACGAAUGGCGUAAUGAUGGCCAGGCUGUCUCCACCCGAGACUCAGUGAAAUUGAACUCGCUGUGAAGAUGCAGUGUACCCGCGGCAAGACGGAAAGACCCCGUGAACCUUUACUAUAGCUUGACACUGAACAUUGAGCCUUGAUGUGUAGGAUAGGUGGGAGGCUUUGAAGUGUGGACGCCAGUCUGCAUGGAGCCGACCUUGAAAUACCACCCUUUAAUGUUUGAUGUUCUAACGUGGACCCGUAAUCCGGGUUGCGGACAGUGUCUGGUGGGUAGUUUGACUGGGGCGGUCUCCUCCUAAAGAGUAACGGAGGAGCACGAAGGUUGGCUAAUCCUGGUCGGACAUCAGGAGGUUAGUGCAAUGGCAUAAGCCAGCUUGACUGCGAGCGUGACGGCGCGAGCAGGUGCGAAAGCAGGUCAUAGUGAUCCGGUGGUUCUGAAUGGAAGGGCCAUCGCUCAACGGAUAAAAGGUACUCCGGGGAUAACAGGCUGAUACCGCCCAAGAGUUCAUAUCGACGGCGGUGUUUGGCACCUCGAUGUCGGCUCAUCACAUCCUGGGGCUGAAGUAGGUCCCAAGGGUAUGGCUGUUCGCCAUUUAAAGUGGUACGCGAGCUGGGUUUAGAACGUCGUGAGACAGUUCGGUCCCUAUCUGCCGUGGGCGCUGGAGAAUUGAGGGGGGCUG